ensembl:lncRNA
AAACAACCUAAACACCCCUGCGGACGAGUCGCCACAGGAGCUUUACAUCAGACUGAAAGACCUGUUUUGCAAGUGGGUGCGCUACUCCAGCAGCAAUAAAGAGGAUAUCAUGGAGGCACUUGUUCUGGAACAGUUCCCAAGGGUCUUGUACCCAGAUGUGAGGACUUGGGUCAAGGAGCAUGAUCCAAGGACUGCUGCUGAGGCUGCCAGACUGGCGGAGGCAUAUAUCACAGCCCGAAAAGGAACAGGACACUUCCGCUAUGCUGGAAUCCUCCCUUCGACCAGGGGUAAGUCUGAGGGAUUGGGGGGGGGUUCAAACUCUCAAGACAGGAUCCUAAGACUCCCACAAAGUAAAGCCACUACCCCGCAGGUAACUUCACAGAGUGUAGUUAAGGAUGAUGUUGUGUGUUAUCAUUGUGGUCAGCCAGGACAUACUAGACCUCUUUGCCCCCUGAAGAAACCCAAAACAGCAAGCCUUUGUUAUGUCCCUCAUCCAGUUCAGUCAUCCCCCGGGAAAUGCAACUCGCAGCCAGUUAGGUCCGUCUUGUUAAAUGGUAGACCAGUUUUAGCCUUGGUAGAUACUGGUUGUACAUAUACAUUAGUGCAGAGCAGAUUUGUGCCCAGACAAGACUGGAAUGAUGCAGACAUGGUUACUGUUUGUUGUGUACACGGUGACAACACUCCAUUGCCUACAGCAGAAGUGUAUAUAGAGGUCUUAAAUCAGUCUCAUUUGAUGAAGGUUGGAAUUGCUGAGACUCUUCCCUAUCCCAUACUCCUUGGCACAGAUAUGCCAGUGUUGGCUGAAUUACUGCAAGACACAGAAUGGUGUGGGGUAGUGACAAGGGCUCAGUCAAAGCAAGUAGUACAGACAACAAUCAACACAGACCCAGAUAAUCCCUUGCCAACCUUUCCUUUUAGUUCUGCUGAUGUUGAGACAGAGUCCGGACCGACAGAAGACAACAGGUUACAACAGCGUAGAGAUUGGGUAUCAGGGUUUAUUGACACCUCAGAACAGGCUAACGAGGAUGUUGCUGAACCUGAAUUAUGUGAGUCAGACAUUGUGAUUCCCAAUGGUCUAGCCCAGCUUCAGAGGGGAGACCCAA